UCGGCGGUAUCUAUAUUAAAAGUGUUAAUUGAACUGCACGGAUAAAUAAACAUUAUUUUUGCAAACUGCUUUGAGCCCUAAGGGACAGAGACAGGUCA
rfam:Pseudobacteroides cellulosolvens ATCC 35603 = DSM 2933 ctg1, whole genome shotgun sequence.